CCUUCUCGCCCCUCCCCUGGCUUCCCCACCCCUUCCAGCUCUGCUCUGGCUGAGGUUAUGGAAAUACAUAAAUAACACUUGAGCCUUGAUCACCACCUGGAGUUGGAGGAGACACAGCAGGACACAUUCAUGAUAAGAAUCUGAAACAGAGCCUGUCAGGAGCUUACCAUCUAAUCCUUCACUGCCUGAGAGGAGAUGAGAGCUGCUAUUCCCACUUUAAAGAUGAAGACAUUGAGCCUAGCAGAGAUUGAGAAAAAACAAUCACACAACUAGGAAAUGGCAGCAUAACAACAAAAAUCCAGGUGAAAUCCAUUUGUGGACUUUUCUUCAUGCGGCAGGAUAUCCUGGCCCACAGUCACAUCCCACUAGGUCUCCUCUGCUCAAGCCGCUCUACGGAUGCAAGUCCGUGGACUGAGUCCAGCGCUCCAGAAACCUUUCUGUGGGUGAUUGUACAGUCCCACAUCUCCCCAUUGGAAAUGUAGCAAUACCCGGAAGGGGCAAGGGCAGAGGAAUUUGCCUGCAGUGCUGCAAGAGUGUACGCUGGUAUGAUGUCUGGUGAGUCUCCAUAAAGGCAAAGGUGCUCAUGGCCCAAUCAGCUCACCUGCAGCCUCUGCCCUGGAGAAAGCCAGCGCACAGGCAUGGGGUGGCCGACCCAGGAGUGUUGUCUGCACCACGACUGCACGAGCAGAACGCUGCCCAUCAGCAGUAGAUCAGGACUGGAUGGAGAGGAUACCAGUGACAUAGAGUGCUCUGGAGAUUCCCAUUUAUCCGCCUUGACAGAGCUUGUAAAGUGUAAUGUGAAGAAAAGGAGCACGUCCUGGGACAAUAUGAACGGUAUCACAUCAUUUACAGAAAGCUUAAAAACCAAUAAAAUGAGGCCUUAAAACGUU